GUUCACCAUAUCCAAAAGGGGUAAGCGGCUACUAGUUCACGACGGUUUCACGUACUACAUGCGAGCGGUGAGCGGCGUGAAGCUGCGCUGGUGCUGCUCAAAGCACAGCUGCCGCGGCUGCCGCGCCGAGAUAUACACCUUGGAUAAAGGUUCCUUGGACUUGAUUAAGUCCACUUCAAGUUAUCGUCACAAGGCAAGCGUUUGUUAAUAUACGAGGGCUUCACCUACUACAAGAAAUCAGUCGUCGGCGAGAAACUGCGCUGGUGUUGUUCGACUCACAGUCACCGCGGCUGCAGCGCCACCAUUUACACUCGAUACGAUGGCGGGGUAGUCUCAGUGAAAGCAGUUCAUAGUCAUGACGCAAAAAGAUAUUCUACGAAAAAAGUUCAUUCGUAAUUACUUGUUGAUCAUGUUAUUUUUCUGUUAAAUAUAUCUCUUUU